rnacentral:piRNA from 1 species
AAGGUUCCCAUAAGUACCAUGGUUUCA